AGUAACACGUAAACAACCUGCCUUCAGGAUGGGGACAACAGACGGAAACGACUGCUAAUACCGAAUACGUUCCACGGGCCGCAUGACCUGUGGAAGAAAGGGUAGCCUCUACCUGUAAGCUAUCGCCUGAAGAGGGGUUUGCGUCUGAUUAGGCAGUUGGUGGGGUAACGGCCCACCAAACCAACGAUCAGUAGCCGGUCUGAGAGGAUGAACGGCCACACUGGAACUGAGACACGGUCCAG
rnacentral:rRNA from 1 species